UGCGGAACGCGCAGAAACGCUUCUAGGGACUUGUCGUAGAUUCCUAAUCCUGAGGGUCGCGCGUUCGAAUCGCGUCGGGAUCACCA
rnacentral:tRNA from 1 species